rnacentral:lncRNA from 1 species
AGCUAAUUAGCUCUGAGACAGAGUUCCUGGAAAUACAAGACAAUGAGAGCUAUCUAAAUUCACAUCCUCUCUAUGGGCAAUCAUGCAACAUGAACCAAACUCAGAAAAGUUUUCUUUGACACAGAGCUGAGAAUAUAUAAAGCCAAUCCUACUCACCUUGGUCUUGGGACAUAUAAUAACACUGCUCUUUCCCAGUCUUUCUAAUCAGGUGAAACCAGGAUGAAAUGUCCAUCAAUGACAUCCAGCAAGGGAAAUAAUGUCAUAAGUUUGGGUAGAGAGGGAAAAAAGAACAAUGUGAUCAUGAGGAUUGCUCUACCAGCUGAGAUGCAUGACUGUGGUGCUCUGGAGGGUAAUAUCCUUAGUCCCUAAAGAUUCUAUCAAGCCAUUUAGACACUCUCUGGAUUCCCUUCUGUGUAUCACACAAGCUCCUGUUUCCUCUGACUUCAGGUUGGACUGGCCAGUAGAAGACCAGAAGGUGGAGAAACUGAAGCUUGGAAACUUGCAGACAAUCCCUAAAUCACAUUUGCUGUCUCCUUCAAAAUUGAACACCCUGUUGCAGCCCUUCCUCUGCUUAUGAUCUGCAUGCAAACCUGAAUGUGUCACUGCUCUCUAGAUUUCAG